AUCUCAUUUCAUUUUCUGCAAAGCUUCAUGGCCGGAUAGCAGCAGCAAAAGGGACAACCGAAACCUUCAACAUUUCUUCUUCCAAAACUCAUGCAAAUCACCACCAAAUCUUCUAAAAAUUUAGCACCACUUAGCCUAAGUCUUGGACAACACAUUUAGCUGGAAAAGGGAGGAGCUUUCACGGUUCUUCAAGCUUCAAAGGGGCCGAAACUUCUGUCCUAACCAGCCAUCAAAGUAGGUAGUAAUCAAUCACCUUAAACUUGUCUUUUGGAGUUUGAUUUAUGCAUUUGAGCUAGAAUCGUCACUUUAGUAGCUUGUAUUGUUGGGAAAAUUGUUAAACGUGGGCUCUAUGAACUUCCACUUUGGGUUGAUGGCUGUGAUGAUGUUUGAUGAUGGUUUUGUUGCUGAAUUAGAGCUUAAGGAAGUAGAUUAAAGGUGCUUUGUUACCAGAAACGUUAUUGAACUCUUGAAACAAAAAGUUCCCAUUUUACCCCUGCUCUAUUCGGUCAUUUUAAUGCAGAAACUGAGGAUUUAAUGGCCUGAUUAUGCUAUUUACAUGUUUUAGCAGUUGUGUACAAAUUUCCGUUGAAAAAUACUGAGUUUUGGUGGGUCAAACGAAUUUAUUUCCAAAGCUAGUAAUCUGGGAAAAUGGUUUCGUCGUAACCCAGACUAGUGUUUGUAUUUCAUCCAUAACUCCGUACUCCGAUGUCGAAAUCAAGUGCCGUUAGUGGCAUUUGAAAUUAGACGUUCCCAUGUUUCCAACGGUGUAUAAUGCACAUUCUGGUUUCUUGUGUGUGAGCCACACCAUUCAUCUGAAGUCGGCUGUCCUGUUUCUCCGUUCUGCCGAAAUGAUUUGAUGAUGCUGCAACUUUAGGCUUAAUUUUGAGCUAGUUGCAUGCUGAAACUUGAAACUAUUUCUUCUGUGAAAUUUUACCCCUGUGAAUGUAUUUUCUAACACUAUCAACCAUUCCCAAUUCUGAAUUAAAUUGAGGGAGUUAUGAUCAAAAUACGGCGACUGCCUCGUUUUUGAAACCUUAGAUUUGGACAGAUUGCCUUAAGGAUUUUUCCAAACUUUGGUUGAUUGGUUAACCACCUUUCCGAAGGUAUUUUUCCAUGAAAUUUGAUAGAGAGAUACCCUUAGUGUGGGAGUAUUAUACUGCAAAAUUUGGUGUCAAUUCAAGUCCGUUUCGACACUUAACAAAAGGUCCAAAGUCGGAACCAAAUCUGGAAAUUUGUUAACAGUCUUGAAAUUUACCCAACUUUGAGCUACCAUAUCUUGGUGCUCGAAACUCCGAUUCUCGAUCUGCUUGUUCUGCCCUAAACCUUACUUGCACCUCUAAUUGAGCUACAAAUUUCAAGGGCUGGUUUGCAACGAGUGAAUUCUGCUGAAUUUUCAAAAUUAGCAAAAAACCAACCCCGGCUCAAUUCUGGGUGAUUUGGAACAGCAACUUUAAGCUCAUUUUUGAACACCUUCCACUUAGAUUCAUGGAAAAAUGUCUUCUAAGAACUUUUAGUACUUUGGAAGAGGUUUCCAACGGUACCAAGUUUUCCAAUUUUCGACAUGUGAAAUCUGAGAUACGAUUUUUUCAAAAUAUCGUAUCAAAACUGAAAUUUUCUGAAUUUCAAGGAAAUGGAGUUUUUCAAGUAUUCCUUAUUCCUUCGAUAAUACUUGAACGUUUAUGCUUGAUUUCCAAGAUAACAAAACUCGAUUGCUCUUGUACAUUAAGAAACUCCACUUGAACCUCAAUUUACUAGUAAUUGAGGUUCAUUUUCAUGAAAUUUCCCCAGAUUGUACUAAUGCACAAUCUUGCUUGAUAAUUGGGAUGUGUGAAUGAUAAUUCACUAUUAAAUGCUCAGGCGCUCAAGAGGACCUUCCAGAGGAUCUCACGGGAGACGCCUAAACCAUCAUUUGAACUCGCUACUUGAAUCACUGUGAGUGUCAAGUGCAUGAACUUGUUGUUAAGUGUUAUCUGUUUCUUAUCCGUUAUGUAAAUUUGAAAUUUUGAGACGAGGGUGUACUUUAUCGCACUCGUUCUCUUUCAAAUGAAAUUAUAUUCGAAUUUUGCUAUGUGAAUUCGUAUCCAACUUGUACAUGGUAAUGUGGAUGUGAUUUGUACUUGUGAUCGUAUAUGUGAUCCGUAUUUGUGAUUCCUAUUUGGAAUCGUCGAUUUGAGCGUUGCUCAUCGACUUAUAUUCGUAUUCGUAUUCAUAUUCGGGGGACGCCCAAAACUCGUUGGCUAACUUUGCGAAUCGAGCCAGCAUGGGCUUGGUCGAUAAGCUUAGCAAACCAUGAGAUAUUCGUAGAGCAUGAUCUAUUGGAGAGAUCUUGCUCGGCAUUACUCGUGCAGUAUUGCCAUGAUAUACUCGAGUAUUAUCAAAAACUUUGAUGAGCGGCCCGGUAAGGGGUGUAACGGUGACGGGAUUCGAAGAAAAGUGGUGUAUCUACGGAUUUGAUACUUAUGUGGUUGACGGAGUGUCAACGUGAGAUGUGAUCAAGACUUCGACUCGACUACGUGGAAUUUAGCUCCUGAGAGCCACAGUAUCCUUGAAUUGUUUCUGUUUAUUUUUCCUAUUCGAAAUGUGAAUUAUUCGAAUUUGAUAGCCUUACCUACAAUGUAAUUGUUGUUGCUACUUGGAUUAUGUGUUUGCAUGUGUGUUUUCUUGGCCUCACUGAGUAUUGGCUCAUCCUAUUAGUUUGUUUUCCUUAACAGGUUGGAUUGGAAGAUUUUGGUAAAGCCGACUAGAUUAUACUUUUGAUUGGAAUCGGGGCUGUAAAUAUGUAGUCGACUUUUAAUGGUUGCAUUUUGGAACUUGAUGUAUCUUUUGUGAACAUGAUGUAAGAUUUAAAUAUUUAGUUAAGGAAGUGACUUUUCUUUAUUUUAACUCGUAGUAUUUGGUAUGUAUCGUUAAGUUCGAUUUGAUUUGUCUUGAGUCCUGGCGAGAGUUGGGCAGGCGUCCCGCGGAUACCCUUGGGUUCGCCCUUGGGAGAAGUGGGGGGCGUCACAUUUUUCACCUCUCACACUUUAAUGGCCUUAUCAACGCUGCAUUUACUAUUGUAAGAGCUGAAUUAAUGGUUCUAGAUCUUUAAGGAUGAAGAAGACAGAGCUUUUUGCCGUUACAAUUCAA
rnacentral:lncRNA from 1 species